rnacentral:rRNA from 1 species
UACAGAGGGGGCAAGCGUUAUUCGGAAUUAUUGGGCGUAAAGGGCGCGUAGGCGGCUUGGCAAGUGGAAGGUGAAAGCCCCCGGCUCAACUGGGGAGGGUCACGCGAUACUGUUCGACUCGAAGGCAGGAGAGGGAAGUGGAAUUCCCGGUGUAGUGGUGAAAUGCGUAGAUAUCGGGAGGAACACCAGUGGCGAAGGCGACUACCUGGCCUGUUCUUGACGCUGAGGCGCGAAAGCUAGGGGAGCAAACGGG